rnacentral:snoRNA from 1 species
UGGUCGGGCUGACGAAUAGCCGCCUGCACAAGGUGGUAAGGGAGCAGGCGAGAGAGCUGCGAGAGAAAGUAGAUGAGGUCUACGAUGUUUUGAAAGGGUUAUUGGAGAUAUAGGCAACUAAAGGUUGGUCAGCGGACCACUUAUCAGGAGAUAUUAGUUAUGCCAUUUCAAUAGACUCACCUCAGAUUAGCUAUAGCUUUUCUAUGAUUGUAUAUGACCACAUACUCA